CAGCUUGCUCGCAUACAGACGGACAGUGUGGUGACAACAUUGAAAGCCUCAUACCCUGGCCUGCAGUUUGAAAUCAUUGCUAUGUCCACCACAGGGGACAAGAUUCUUGAUACUGCACUCUCUAAGAUUGGAGAGAAAAGCCUGUUUACCAAGGAGCUUGAACAUGCCCUGGAGAAGAAUGAAGUGGACCUGGUUGUUCACUCCUUGAAGGACCUGCCCACUGUGCUUCCUCCUGGCUUCACCAUCGGAGCCAUCUGCAAGCGGGAAAACCCUCAUGAUGCUGUUGUCUUUCACCCAAAAUUUGUUGGGAAGACCCUAGAAACCCUGCCAGAGAAGAGUGUGGUGGGAACCAGCUCCCUGCGAAGAGCAGCCCAGCUGCAGAGAAAGUUCCCGCAUCUGGAGUUCAGGAGUAUUGAUGUAACCCUAUUGUAAGUCAAGGACCUUCUGUCUUCACUUCUUGACCACCCCACCUCUAUCACCAUAGGCUGGGAAGAUUGUGAAUCAGAGGCCAGACUCUAGGCUUUCAUGGAGAAAAUUUACAAAAAAA
rnacentral:sRNA from 1 species